rnacentral:misc_RNA from 1 species
CGCACAUUGCGCCCUUUGGUAUUCCGAAGGGCAUGCCUGUUCGAGCGUCAUUAUCACCCCUCAAGCUCCGGCUUGAUGUUGGACUUCGUUGCAGACCCCCCUGCGGCGGGCCCCAAAGACAGUGACGCCGUCCCAGAGGGAACCGGUACGAGGAGCUUCCAGUUAAGCAUGUACGCGGGAGGACUCUAGAGGCGGCGGCCGCUUUAAUUAGUAUUUUUACUCCAGUGUUGACCUCGGAUCAGGUAGGGAUACCCGCUGAACUUAA